rnacentral:lncRNA from 1 species
UGGCUUUGAUGGCUCAGGCUGCUGUGCCUUUUAUCAUUGGCUUCUGAUUCAAACCAGAAAUAAUUGAUAAUGUGAAUUUGUGUUGAUCCUUCAGUUGUAGGAAAACUGUAUAUCUAUCCCCCGUUGUUAAGUAGACAUGAGCCUGUCCCCUGCUUGUAGAGAUUGACCAGGAAAACGGGAGGAAGCAUGGCCGUUGCGUGUUUCAGAAAGUUUAUUGUUUAAAAUACAGAAGGAAGUUUUCUUUGUGACUUGAUCUUCUGUCUAGUACUUGUCUAAUCAGUUAACCCACGCUGAGAGCUUGUAGCGAUGCCUACCAAAGACAUGCAUAGUAAACCUCCUGUUUCCAAAUUAUUAAAGAGCCAGCCAUUGAUGCUGCUCCUGGUUCUUUCUGGGAGCCAUUGUGAGAGACUAAAAGAUUCUUAGGGUGUUUGUUUGUUUGUUUGUUCGUUCGUUUGUUUAAGUUUUAAUUUCUCUCUUUCUAAAUUUUUGAUUACAAAUGUGUUAGCCUAAUGUGUUGGGGAGCAUUUCCCAGAAUGCUCAGCAGUUGUGAUUACUGGUCACACCCAGGUCACCUCUUCUGGAGUGAUCAACGGGAUCCUCUGUGCGUGCUAGCAUGGGUGCUGUGUGUGUGCACGUGUGCGUGUGUGCAUUCAUGCCUUAACUUGGGUUACUGCUCAGCUUUGCCGUCUGACUUGGUCCUCACCAGCAUCAGAUUGUAUUGUGCAUCCUGAUCUGAACUUCAUUCUGGUAAAAAAAAACAACAACAACAACAAAACCACAAGGUUGCAGGUAGCACAGGCUGGAACGCAUUCCUUUGGAAGAACGUCUGCUCAGAUGGACCCUGAGAUGUCUCCACGGACUUUAUUUGGGACUUUGUUUGGAAAGAAAGCCGACUGUAACUUGGGCAGAUGUCGACAAGGAAGAGGGGAGAGCCAGAUGCCACCAUGCCCUCUGCCUCUGCAUAUCCGUGUGCUCUGUGUGUUGUGUAGGCUCAUCUACAGCUUACCUGGCUUGGAGUUCAGGUAAUGGUGGCCAUCCUGACAUUCUCUGUUGGAGUUUAGAGAGAUGUAAGACGUCCAGUUAAUGUCUUAUUUACUUUAUGUUGAUCAGUCUUUAAUACAUGUGCUGAAUCAGAAAAACCUAAAUAAAGAUAAUUUUUUAAAAUG